rnacentral:tRNA from 1 species
AUCUCACGGUAGAGCAGAGGAUUGAAAAUCCUCGUGUCACCAGUUCAAAUCUGGU